CGAAGAACCUUUACCUAGGUCUUGACAUCCCGAUGCUUAUUUCUAGAGAUAGAAAGUUACUUCGGUACAUCGGUGACAGGUGGUGCAUGGUUGUCGUCAGCUCGUGUCGUGAGAUGUUGGGUUAAGUCCCGCAACGAGCGCAACCCCUAUUGUUAGUUGCCAUCAUUCAGUUGGGCACUCUAGCGAGACUGCCGGUAAUAAACCGGAGGAAGUGGGAUGACGUCAAAUCAUCAUGCCCCUUAUGACCUGGGCUACACACGUGCUACAAUGGUUGGUACAACGAGUUGCGAGUCGGUGACGGCGAGCUAAUCUCUUAAAGCCAAUCUCAGUUCGGAUUGUAGGCUGCAACUCGCCUACAUGAAGUCGGAAUCGCUAGUAAUCGCGGAUCAGCACGCCGCGGUGAAUACGUUCCCGGGCCUU
rnacentral:rRNA from 1 species